rnacentral:rRNA from 1 species
GCAGCCACUCAUUCAAAGAGUGCGUAAUAGCUCACUGGUCGAGUGAUCCUGCGCCGAAGAUUUCCGGGGCUAAAACUUACUACCGAAGCUACGGCAUCAGUAAUGAUGGGUAGGGGAGCUUCCCAUAUGGGUUGAAGCAUGACCGUAAGGACAUGUGGACAGUAUGGGAGUGAGAAUGUUGGCAUGAGUAGCGAGAUGUGGGUGAGAAUCCCACAGGCCGUAAACCCAAGGUUUCCAGGGGAAGGUUCGUCCGCCCUGGGUUAGUCGGGACCUAAGCUGAGGCCGAAAGGCGUAGGUGAUGGACAACAGGUUGAUAUUCCUGUACUACCGAUAACCGUUUGAGAGAAGGGAUGACACAGUAGGAUAAGCUAAGCACACUGUUGGUUAUGUGUGCCCAAGCAUUGAGGCAGUCAAAGUAGGCAAAUCCGCUUUGAUAAUGCUGGGGUGUGAUGGGGAGCGAAAUUUAGUAGCGAAGUAGCUGAUUUCACACUGUCAAGAAAAGUUUCUAUCGAGGUUAAAGGUACCCGUACCGCAAACCGACACAGGUGGGUGAGGAGAGUAUCCUAAGGCCAGCGAGAGAACUGUUGUUAAGGAACUCGGCAAAAUGACCCCGUAACUUAGGGAUAAGGGGUGCCACCAUCAGGUGGCCGCAGAGAAUAGGCCCAAGCGACUGUUUACCAAAAACAUAGGUUUCUGCUAAGUCGCAAGACGAUGUAUAGGAGCUGACGCCUGCCCGGUGCUGGAAGGUUAAGGGGAUCUGUUAGAGCAAUCGAAGCAGUGAACUUAAGCC